rnacentral:rRNA from 1 species
GUAGCUGGUCUGAGAGGAUGAMCAGCCACACUGGGACUGAGACACGGCCCAGACUCCUACGGGAGGCAGCAGUGGGGAAUAUUGGACAAUGGGGGCAACCCUGAUCCAGCAAUGCCGCGUGUGUGAAGAAGGCCUGAGGGUUGUAAAGCACUUUCAGUGGGGAGGAGGAUUACUAGGUUAAGAGCUGAGUAAUUGGACGUUACCCACAGAAGAAGCACCGGCUAACUCCGUGCCAGCAGCCGCGGUAAUACGGAGGGUGCGAGCGUUAAUCGGAAUGACUGGGCGUAAAGGGUGCGUAGGUGGUUUAUUAAGUUGUUGGUGAAAUCUCUGGGCUUAACCUGGGGUUGACGAAUAAAACUGAUGAACUCGAGUAURG